rnacentral:rRNA from 1 species
GACGAACGCUGGCGGCGUGCUUAACACAUGCCAGUCGAACGGAAAGGCCCUGCUUUUGUGGGGUGCUCGAGUGGCGAACGGGUGAGUAACACGUGAGUAACCUGCCCUUGACUUUGGGAUAACUUCAGGAAACUGGGGCUAAUACCGGAUAGGAGCUCCUGCUGCAUGGUGGGGGUUGGAAAGUUUCGGCGGUUGGGGAUGGACUCGCGGCUUAUCAGCUUGUUGGUGGGGUAGUGGCUUACCAAGGCUUUGACGGGUAGCCGGCCUGAGAGGGUGACCGGCCACAUUGGGACUGAGAUACGGCCCAGACUCCUACGGGGGGCAGCAGGGGGGAAUAGUGCACAAUGGGCGGAAGCCUGAUGCAGCAGCGCCGCGUGCGGGAUGACGGCCUUCGGGGUGUAAACCGCUUUCGCCUGUGACGAAGCGUGAGUGACGGUAAUGGGUAAAGAAGCACCGGCUAACUACGUG